GCCGAGAUAGCUCAGCGGUAGAGCAACGGUUUCGUAAACCGUAGGUCGUGGGUUCAAAUCCCAUUCUCGGCU
rnacentral:tRNA from 1 species